rnacentral:rRNA from 1 species
GACGGAGGAUGCAAGCGUUAUCCGGAAUUAUUGGGCGUAAAGCGUCCGCAGGUGGACAUACAAGUCUGCCGUCAAAGUGCAGAGCUUAACUCUGUAAAGGCGGUGGAAACUGUAGGUCUUGAGUAUGGUAGGGGUAGAGGGAAUUCCCGGUGUAGCGGUGAAAUGCGUAGAUAUCGGGAAGAACACCAGUGGCGAAAGCGCUCUACUGGGCCAUAACUGACACUGAGGGACGAAAGCUAGGGGAGCGAAAGGG